GAUGAAGAACGCAGCGAAAUGCGAUAAGUAAUGUGAAUUGCAGAAUUCAGUGAAUCAUCGAAUCUUUGAACGCACAUUGCGCCCGCCAGUAUUCUGGCGGGCAUGCCUGUUCGAGCGUCAUUUCAACCAUCAAGCCCCAGGCUUGUGUUGGGGACCUGCGGCUGCCGCAGGCCCUGAAAACCAGUGGCGGGCUCGCUGUCACACCGGGCGUAGUAGAUUUUAUCUCGCUCAGGGCGUGCUGCGGGUUCCGGCCGUUAAAAAGCCUUUUUUACCCAAGGUUGACCUCGGAUCAGGUAGGAAUACCCGCUGAACUUAGGCAUAUCAAUAAGCGGAGGA
rnacentral:misc_RNA from 1 species